rnacentral:rRNA from 1 species
UACAGGGGGGGCAAGCGUUGUUCGGAAUUACUGGGCGUAAAGGGCUCGUAGGCGGCCAACUAAGUCACACGUGAAAUCCCCAGGCUUAACCUGGGAACUGCGUGUGAUACUGGAUGGCUUGAAUCCGGGAGAGGGAUGCGGAAUUCCAGGUGUAGCGGUGAAAUGCGUAGAUAUCCGGAGGAACACCAGUGGCGAAGGCGGCCGCCUGGACCUGACCUGACGCUGAGGCGCGAAGGCGUGGGGAGCGAACGGG